rnacentral:rRNA from 1 species
GAUGAACGCUGGCGGCGUGCCUAAUACAUGCAAGUCGAGCGAACAGACGAGGGGCUUGCUCCUCUGACGUUAGCGGCGGACGGGUGAGUAACACGUGGAUAACCUACCUAUAAGACUGGGAUAACUUCGGGAAACCGGAGCUAAUACCGGAUAAUAUAUUGAACCGCAUGGUUCAAUAGUGAAAGACGGUUUUGCUGUCACUUAUAGAUGGAUCCGCGCCGCAUUAGCUAGUUGGUAAGGUAACGGCUUACCAAGGCAACGAUGCGUAGCCGACCUGAGAGGGUGAUCGGCCACACUGGAACUGAGACACGGUCCAGACUCCUACGGGAGGCAGCAGUAGGGAAUCUGCCGCAAUGGGCGAAAGCCUGACGGAGCAACGCCGCGUGAGUGAUGAAGGUCUUCGGAUCGUAAAACUCUGUUAUUAGGGAAGAACAAAUGUGUAAGUAACUAUGCACGUCUUGACGGUACCUAAUCAGAAAGCCACGGCUAACUACGU